UACGUAGGGGGCGAGCGUUGUCCGGAAUGAUUGGGCGUAAAGGGCGUGUAGGCGGCUGUAUAAGUCUGGAGUGAAAGUCCCGUUUUCAAGAUGGGAAUUGCUUUGGAUACUGUACAGCUUGAGUGCAGGAGAGGUUAUCGGAAUUCCCGGUGUAGCGGUGAAAUGCGUAGAGAUCGGGAGGAACACCAGUGGCGAAGGCGGGUAACUGGACUGCAACUGACGCUGAGGCGCGAAAGUGUGGGGAG
rnacentral:rRNA from 1 species